rnacentral:rRNA from 1 species
CCUACGGGAGGCUGCAGUGGGGAAUUUUGGACAAUGGGGGCAACCCUGAUCCAGCCAUGCCGCGUGAGUGAAGAAGGCCUUCGGGUUGUAAAGCUCUUUCGGCUGGGAAGAAAUCGCAUCUCCUAAUACGGGGUGUGGAUGACGGUACCAGCAUAAGAAGCACCGGCUAACUACGUGCCAGCAGCCGCGGUAAUACGUAGGGUGCGAGCGUUAAUCGGAAUUACUGGGCGUAAAGCGUGCGCAGGCGGUUUCGUAAGACAGAGGUGAAAUCCCCGGGCUCAACCUGGGAACUGCCUUUGUGACUGCGAGGCUAGAGUAUGGCAGAGGGGGGUGGAAUUCCACGUGUAGCAGUGAAAUGCGUAGAGAUGUGGAGGAACACCGAUGGCGAAGGCAGCCCCCUGGGCCAAUACUGACGCUCAUGCACGAAAGCGUGGGGAGCAAACAGGAUUAGAUACCCCUGUAGUC